rnacentral:rRNA from 1 species
UUGGAGGGCAAGUCUGGUGCCAGCAGCCGCGGUAAUUCCAGCUCCAAUAGCGUAUAUUAAAGUUGUUGCAGUUAAAAAGCUCGUAGUUGAACUUCAGACCUGGCUGGGCGGUCCGCUUAACGGCGUGUACUGUCUGGCUGGGUCUUACCUCUUGGUGAGCCGGCGUGCCCUUUAUUGGUGUGCGUCGGGGAACCAGGACUUUUACCUUGAGAAAAUUAGAGUGUUCAAAGCAGGCCUAUGCCUGAAUACAUUAGCAUGGAAUAAUAAAAUAGGACGUGCGGUUCUAUUUUGUUGGUUUCUAGAGUCGCCGUAAUGAUUAAUAGGGAUGGUUGGGGGCAUUGGUAUUGUGUCGCUAGAGGUGAAAUUCUUGGAUUGACACAAGACCAACUACUGCGAAAGCAUUUGCCAAGGAUGUUUUCAUUAAUCAAGAACGAAGGUUAGGGGAUCGAAAACGAUCAGAUACCGUUGUAGUCUUAACAGUAAACUAUGCCGACUAGGGAUCGGACGACCUCAAUUUUGAUGCGUCGUUCGGCGCCUUACGGGAAAC